GACGUAGGGCGCGAGCGUUGUCCGGAUUUAUUGGGCGUAAAGCGUGCGCAGGCGGCGCGUUAAGACAGGUGUGAAAGCCCCGAGCUUAACUUGGGAAUUGCGCUUGUGACUGGCGUGCUGGAGUGUGGCAGAGGGAGGUGGAAUUCCACGUGUAGCGGUGAAAUGCGUAGAGAUGUGGAGGAACACCGAUGGCGAAGGCAGCCUUCUGGGCCAACACUGACGCUCAUGCACGAAAGCGUGGGGAGCAAACAGG
rnacentral:rRNA from 1 species